ensembl:lncRNA
CUUGCACUAGCAGCUCUAACUGCACUCGCACUAGCAGCUCUAACUGCACUCACACAGCUCUAACUGCACUCGCACUAGCAGCUCUAACUGCACUCACACAGCUCUAACUGCACUCGCACUAGCAGCUCAUACUGUGCGAUUUUGGCAACAACAUCGGACUCUGUCGUCUUUGCUGUUUCCUUUUUCUCUGCGGCGGUUGUAAACACUUCCUGUUCCAGCGCGGUUUCAUGUUCGCUUAGAUUAAAGUUUUGAAACUUUGGGACUACGUUGUUUACAUCGGUUUGAUCCUUAAACAAGACUUGGGUGAAGAAUUUCUGUUGGGAAUCCUCGACUUCACGCUGUCUGGAAGCUUCGCUCGAAGCAAAGUUAACGGAAAUGAGCUUCUUAUUGUAAGUAACGGUGGCUAGCUAACUAGUCAGACCUCUGUCUGUUAUUAUGCAGCGACGUGGUGGUUGUUUGGAGAUAACUAGAGAUAUUUUGGUGGGAUAAUCCCCGCUGAAUCGAUGUAAACCAUCACUAAACAGUCAGUAAUAGACUAACUAGUUACUAGCCCAUAGUUAGAGUAACUUUCCUGUCUCCUCAUGUGGCUCAGGCCAGCUUUAUGAGUAACGUUAGUUAGCCAACACAGCUACAACCACGGUAAGAUUUAACAAAUAUAUCAAAUAUUAGUUUUUAUAUUAGCGUAUACAACACUAGUGUAAGUUUAUAUUUGAAACAUCAAUCCCCUGGACGCCUUUAUUAGGCCGUGUUUUCUCUUCCUCGAAGGCUCUCCAUGAAGCUUCCGCUAAAGCACUUAAGAUGAAUAAAUGAAGUUAUAAACCAUCUGUCGCGUUGGAGAGCUGAUUAAAGCCCAGACUGAUGGAGAACUGAGCAUUAGCUGAAACGAAAAAAGUU